rnacentral:rRNA from 1 species
CCUACGGGUGGCAGCAGUGAGGAAUAUUGGUCAAUGGACGAGAGUCUGAACCAGCCAAGUAGCGUGCAGGAUGACUGCCCUAUGGGUUGUAAACUUCUUUUAUAUGUGAGUAAAAUGUUCUACGUGUGUGGUGUUGUAUGUACCAUAUGAAUAAGGAUCGGCUAACUCCGUGCCAGCAGCCGCGGUAAUACGGAGGAUCCGAGCGUUAUCCGGAUUUAUUGGGUUUAAAGGGAGCGUAGGUGGAUUGUUAAGUUAGUGGUGAAAGUUUGCGGCUCAACCGUAAAAUUGCAUUUGAGACUGGCAGGCUUGAGUACAGUAGCGGUGGGCGGAAUGUGUGGUGUAGCGGUGAAAUGCUUAGAUAUCAUGAAGAACUCCGAUUGCGAAGGCAGCUCACUGAACUGCAACUGACACUGAGGCACGAAAGUGUGGGUAUCAAACAGGAUUAGAUACCCCAGUAGUC